GACGUAGGAGGCGAGCGUUGUCCGGAUUCAUUGGGCGUAAAGAGCACGCAGGCGGUUUGGCAAGUCGGAUGUGAAAACCCGGAGCUCAACUCCGGACCUGCAUCCGAAACUGCCCGACUAGAGGUAGGUAGGGGAGAUCGGAAUUCCUGGUGUAGCGGUGAAAUGCGCAGAUAUCAGGAGGAACACCGGUGGCGAAGGCGGGACUCUGGGCCGAUACUGACGCUGAGGAGCGAAAGCGUGGGGAGCAAACAGG
rnacentral:rRNA from 1 species